rnacentral:pre_miRNA from 1 species
GGGGGCAGCGCCGGAUCUUGGACUGUGUCCCCAAGCGCCCUGGGCUCCAGGGCCUGUGCCGCAGGAAUCGUGCUCCCAGGGCUGUGCAGCCCCCU